GAGAGUGACACAGAGAGCACAAACAGCGAGGAAGACUUAGCACAGCUUCCCCGGGACUUGUCCUUAAAAGCUUCACAAAGAUCAUCAUGUAGUUCUGUGUUAAGGAUCCCAUCAUCAGCUCAAUCCUCACCAAACACAUUUUUCACAUCAACAAAAAUCAAUUUCAAAGUGACCAGCUGCAGAGAGGACUCACCCCUAAUUGCUUACAACACUCCUCCAUGGUUUCCCUGCCUGUUUAGUUUCCAAAACGUCACAGACAUGCGACCCUCAAGUCCUGCCCCCUCACCAGAUCUCACCAGCAGCCUGGCUUCUCAGGCAAGUGUGAUAGCUAAAGCUGUGGACCUCUCUGUUGCAAAACACAAAACACUACAAUGAAGACACUUGAAAUGUACAACCCGCUGCUAUUCAAAUGAUACAUAUACACCCAUACUUCAACAUUAAUCAAGUACUCUCAGGUGUAAGAUUUCCCUCAAAUAUUAUCCUGUGUUCGUGUUCAGCUUUUAAAACCAAACAGAGUUCCAAGCUAUCUGAAUCCGUUAUAUUACAUAUCAUUAUAUUUCUGAAAUAGUUUGCAGCACACUACCUCAUUCUCAUAACUGCAUUAAAUUUGUAACUUGUAGAACUACCUCACGGAUGUGACACUUGAUCACAGAAGUUGUCAGUGUAAGCUAGUAAUGAUGCAGCAUUGGGAGAAUAUGCUUGUAUUAAUUUAGCAUUGGAGUGACAUUUCAUACAUGUUGACCGUAUAUAUAAUAAAACAAUAAAGAACGAAAUAGAACAGUUACUGGGGAAUUUUUAAGGGGAAUUUGUAUGCGUCUUUCUACAGGGUACUGUAGCAAUAUUGAAAUCACAGUUUUUGAAAGAUAUGAUUAAGGUUUCAGUACAUUCAUAUAUGAAAUUGUCAUGACAUUUGACAUUUUUGUCACUCCAGACCAACAGAAUUAUUGAACUGUCUGUCUGGAAACUUUAAGUUUUACUUGAGGUUCAGCUCUCCCAUGUUAGUAGGGCUAUAAAUACUUGAAUAGAGACACUCAGAGUUGUGUAUUAACUUGUCAAACCGUUCUCAUUUGUGUUCUGAAUCACUCUUAUUUUAAGGUAACGAGAUUUUGCUAUUGUUUUUGUAUAAAGUAUUUUUAUACAACAGUCACUAAUUUACAUAAUGAACAAAUACAGUAUGGAGAUUAAAAAGCAAAUAUAAAAACAGGUUUAUUGUAGUGUCAGUGAUUAAAAAAUUACACAAUACAAAAUCUUUUCAACACUCAUUUGUUGUAUAAUGUACAUUAAAACAGUGGUUCAAAGUGUUAGUAGUGGUACUAGUUAAAAAGAUGAAUGUGGAGUAGAAAAGCAAAUCACUUUUGUUGCUGCAUCUAACCUUGAUUUUACAAUAGAGGGAUGAGAAGUCAAUGUUUUACAACUCAGACUCUGUGUAUGCAGUGGUCUAAAUAAUAAAUUGUAUUCUUGGUUUUCACCAAUUGUGAUUUUCAUUCUUCACGUCAUUUGUUUCAUCUAUAAAUUUCAUUUGUUUUAUACAAAGCUAGUGGUGUACAAUUUCAUGUUGUUAAUGGCGCUAUAUUCAUAACAAAAAUGUGUACAUCUAUAACAAGCUUAUUAUAAUGUUUCAUGCUCAAUUCCAAUUAUGUUUCACUGAAUUGAUAACUUAACACUGUUGCACUGCUAAUAUAAAACAUCUCAAUUAGAUGUGACUUCAAUUCUAUAUUAUACACAGAUGUUUAAAAGCAAUAGUUCACCCAAAAAUGAAAAA